GCCGCGUUGGCGUAGUGGUAGCGCGUCCCACUUGUAACAGCUUGUGAUAGCAAGCAAGUUCAUGGGAAGGUCACUCGUUCAAUCCGGGUACGUGGCA
rnacentral:tRNA from 2 species